CCUACGGGUGGCAGCAGUAGGGAAUAUUGCUCAAUGGGGGAAACCCUGACGCAGCAACGCCGCGUGAGGGAAGAAGGUACAGCGUAUCGUAAACCUCUUUUGUCAGGAAACAAAGGCGGGGACUAGUCCCCGGAUGAGGGUACCUGAAGAAAAAGCAUCGGCUAACUCCGUGCCAGCAGCCGCGGUAAUACGGAGGAUGCGAGCGUUAUCCGGAUUUAUUGGGGUUAACGGGUGCGCAGGCGGCCUGUUAAGUCAGCGGUAAAAGCCCGGGGCGCAAACCCGGCGAGCCGUUGAAACUGGCGGGCUGGAGUUGGAGAGAAGUACGCGGAAUGCGCGGUGUAGCGGUGAAAUGCUUAGAUAUCGCGCAGAACCCCGAUUGCGAAGGCAGCGUACCGGCUCCACACUGACGCUGAGGCACGAAAGCGUGGGUAUCGAACAGGAUUAGAUACCCCUGUAGUC
rnacentral:rRNA from 1 species